rnacentral:lncRNA from 1 species
AUUUCUUGGGCCGCUCCUGCGGCAUAGGGAGGUUCCCAGGCUAGGGGUUGAAUCGGAGCUGUAGCUACCAGCCUACGCCAGAGCCACAGCAACGCGGGAUCCGAGCCGCGUCUGCAACCUACACCACAGCUCAUGGCAAUGCCGGAUCCUUAACCCACUGAGCAAGGGCAGGGACUGAACCCGCAACCUCAUGGUUCCUAGUCGGAUUCGUUAACCACUGCAUUAUGAUGGGAACUCCCAAUAAAACUUUAAAAAAUGAAAGAAAAAAAAAAAAAAAACCCUAGCAGAUUGCUAUUCUUAAACAAGCUAUGCCAGUAUCCCUUUUCUUUGUCCCUUAAAAGGACCUAGGAAGGAAACAAAGUAAUAUCUGCAAAUCUUCUCCUUAAAGUACUUUUAUUUAUUUGCUCUUUUUUUUAGGUAUGAUUCCAAAUAAAUAAAUGAUUUGUGGAAAAGAAACUGGUCAUUCGAAUUUGAAAUAAGGCAGAAGAAAGGUAUGAUUGAAUGUCACUAAGAGCCUACAAUUUUUGCCCUGGAGAAACUAAAAAGGGGUCAGCACACCCCUUUUCCUUGCUGGUCACCUCAGUAAAUAUCAGACAAGACCCCUCAGUCAUCCAUAACCAUAUCCUUGGUUAUCCAUAACUGAUCCCUAAAUGGGCAAUAGUUGCUCAGACUGGUCAGAAAACUAAAGAGUUGCACCUUCAGCAGAUGGCAGGGAGCAGCAAGGGCAAUAACUGUCUGUUUGUUUUGGCAUCACCGCCAAUGCAAAGAAAUUUAGGGUGUGUGUUACCCUUUGUCCAGUUCCUGUCUCUUGGUACACUAGCAUUUCCAUCUCAAAAGAAUCCAAGUAUGAGCUAGUUCGAAAAGGGAAAGUGUGUCCCAUUUUGGCAGGCUAUGGGACAAAUCCCAGAGCCUUUUCUUCACAAAGCACUUGUUAAUAUUCUACUUAAUAUUCUACAGAACCCAUGGUAGAAAAUAGAUGAAAUAAAUGGUGGGAUUGCAGAGCCUUUAUGUUCAGUUCUCAAACUAGGUUCCAUGGAGCACUUGGGUUCCUACAGUGUCUCAGGGGCUGCUGGAGAGAGGGGAAGAGGGCCCUGGAAGGCAGAGAUCUGAGCCCUCAGACCCAAUUCAACCACGGCAGUUUCUUUUUUCAACCCAAGAACAUGUUUGGGGAAAAAGGGGAGGGAGUGGUUUAUUUAAAAUUAGAAAAUGUUGGAGUUCCCGUAAUGGUGCUGUGGAAACAAAUCCAACUAGGAACCAUGAGGUUGGGGGUUCGAUCCCUGGCCUUGCUCAGUGGGUAAGAAUCUUGCAUUGCUGUGAGCUGUGGUGUAGGUCACAGAUAUGGCUCAGAUUUGGCGUUGCAGUGGCUCUGGCAUAGGCCCGCAGCAACAGCUCUGAUUUGACCCCUAGCCUGGGAACCUCCAUAUGCCGUGGUGUGGCCCUAAAAAAGGAGAAAAGACAGGUAAGCAAGUAAGAAAAUAAAACAAAACAAAACAAAAUAAAAUUAGGAAAUGUUUGGAGUUCUGGUCAUGGCUCAGAAGGUUAAGAACCAGACUAGUAUCCAUGAGGAGGUGGGUUUAAUCCCUGGCCUUGCACAGUGGGUUAAAGAUCCAGCAUUACCAUGAGCUACAGUGCAGGUCACAGACAUGGCUUGGAUCUGGUGUUGCUGUGGCUGUGGGGUAGGCUGGCAGCUGCACCUCUGAUUCAACCCCUAGCCUGAGAACUUCCAUAUGCCACAGGUGUGCCCCUAAAAAAAGAAAAAUAAAGUCCUAGAAAAUAUUUGAGAACCACUGCUUGAAGUAAGCACCAUACAUAUUAUUUCUCAGAACUGAGAUUCCAAUAAGAAUUGAAAAACUAACAGUUUUAGUUAUAUUCUUAGCAAGAACCCAGGGGGCAGAAAUUUAAUUUUUUUUUAAAUCAAAAGCAGAGCCAUGGCAAAACCUAUGAUAAAUGAAGAAAAUAUUUGCAGCUAUGCAAUUAAUAAAGAGUUAAUAUGCUUAGGUGGUGAAAUGAUCCUACAAAUUAAUAAGGAAAAGGCCAAUAACCCAGUAGAAACAUGGGCCAAGGCUAUAGAAUUCACAGAAGCAGAAAUGCAAAUAUUCAAUAAACAUAUGAAAAGAGGCUCAGGCUCACUUGUCAGGGAAAUGCAAAUGAGAACAAUGAGAUACUAUUUUUUACCCAUCAGAUUGGCAAAAAUGGAAAAUAUGUGUAACAUCCAGAGCUGGUGAGGGUGUGUAAGGAAUCUAGUUCUCUCAAACGCCAUCGGGGGAGGACUGUAAAUUAUUAUAAAGUGGUGGAAAAUCAACUGUUGGUAUUUUUGAAAAUUUAAACUGUAGCCCGGCACUUCCACUUCUGGGAAUAUAUCCACCAGAAAUGAAAAUGCCAGUGUAUAAAGACAUAAAUACAUGAAGAAGUGUAUUGCAGGAUCGUUUGUAAUAGUUAAAAAAAAAAACCUGGAAGCAAUCUGAAUGUACAUUAAUAGAAAAAUGGCUGAACAAAUCAUGAUGUAUUUAAAUUAAGGAACACAGCACAGAUAUUAAAAAUUAUAAAAUAAAACUAAUGAAAGCAAGUGUGAUCCUAUUUUUAUUAAAAAAAAUAAAAAUAGGGGAGUUCCCAUCAUGGCGCAGAGGAAACGAAUCCGACUAGGAACCAUGAGGGAGCUGUACUGGAGUGGUGAGACUAUUAAUUUUAUUUAGACACUGCUUUACGAUUUAAAAUGUUACAAAAGAUAUGUAUUACUUUUGUAAUUCAAAUGAUCAGAAUUUUUAAAAACAGAAUUAGGACAGGAAAUUCAAAGCAAAUCAAAUUACUUUGACGAUCACUGGAAGGCAGAGUGAGGCUGGCCUCCUGGUAUAGGAUCUUAAAGCAAUGAACCCACGGGGAUAUAGAGCUAAUAGAGGGCAGCCCAGCUAUGCAUCAGGUGGGUAGAAGGACAGCCUUUUAACAGGGCUGACAUUUUCCUUGAAAAACAGUCCUUACUCCUCUCUAAUCUUUGCAGAAGGAUUGAAUGAGGCCCCAAUGUGAUCCGCUAUAGCACAGGAGUCAGCAAUUUUUUUACAGCAUGUAAAUGAAAUGGGCAUAGCUGUGUCUCAAUAAAACUUUAUUUAUAUAAUAGGUAAUGGGUGAAUUUGACUCAGGGGUUAGAAUUUACUGAGCUCUGCUGUAGAACAUGGGCAAGAUUAUUUUUUAAAAGCAAGUUUUUCAUAUGAUAAUAUUUAACACGCACAUGAUAAGAAACACACCAAUGUGACGAAUUUUUACAAAGUGAACACAUCUCUAUAACUACCACCCAGAUUAGGAUGCAGAACAUUACCGUCACUCCAAAAGUCUCCCCUGUGCCCCUCCCAGUUAUCACCAUCCCCCACCACCAAAGACCCAAAGAUAGCCACCAAGUUUACUUCUACCUUAUAAUUUGUUUCACUUGGUUGUAAACUUUACGUAAAUGGAAUCAUACACCAUUAUCUUUCACUCAGGGAAUUAUGAGUGAGAUCCCU